UAACUAAGUCCUGAUGUCGUUGCAUAGCA
rnacentral:piRNA from 2 species